AAAUUAAAAAACAGAUUAUAUUGAAUUUUAAAAACAGUUUUUACAUGAUUUUAAAAAAUUUUAAAAACACUUUUAUCUUGGUUUUCUCUCUCUCUCUCUCUCGUUACAGUCACCUUCAUCAGAGGAGAGCUUCAUUUCCAUGGCUUCAAAGGCAGAAGAUUGAAGUACCCACUUCAGGCACCUUGCUGGGUUCUCGGCACCUGCUUCAUCUUCCUCCUCUUGGCAUCACAGAUGACAGGAACAGAUAGUGAGGUGGUUAUUAUUGAUAAUAGCGAAGCUUCUGUUUGGCCUGAAAAACAUGAAGAAAUUUUUAUUGAACUUAUGGAAGAAGAAGUUUUGAAGGGAAAUAGAAAUACUACAACCUUUACAAAGCAAUCAUGGAAGCGUAUAAAGGAGGAGCUUUAUGCACAAGCGAAGAGAAGUUACACUGAUACACAAUUAAGGAACAAAUACAAUCUGUUAAGACAAAAGCACAAGGAUUUCAAGUCUUUAAGCAUAAUGAGUGAAGAUUAUUAACAAUUAGAACUUUUUUAAUAGUUUUCUUCAAGAUUAGACAAUUAUUAGUUCAUAUUUUAUUAUGAAUUUGUCGGUUUUGUGUUAUAGAUAAUGUGUUUCGUGAUUUUAAAUUACUUGAAUUUUUUAAAAUAUUAAUGAGUAUUUUUUAUUUGAUUUUUU